rnacentral:rRNA from 1 species
UACGUAGGCAGCAAGCGUUGUUCGGAAUUACUGGGCGUAAAGGGUGCGUAGGCGGUGCUCUAAGUUUGGUGUGAAAUCUCCCGGCUUAACUGGGAGGGUGCGCCGAAAACUGGAGCGCUGGAGUGCGGGAGAGGAAAGCGGAAUUCCUGGUGUAGCGGUGAAAUGCGUAGAGAUCAGGAGGAACACCUGCGGUGUAGACGGCUUUCUGGACCGUAACUGACGCUGAGGCACGAAAGAGUGGGUAGCAAACAGG